CUGUUGUAAAAAGGAUUGAGUUCUUGAUUGAUUCCCAGCUUGGUCAUUGGUGUAUAGCAGUGCUACUGAUUUGUUUACAUUCAUUUUGUAACCUGAGACUUUACUGAAUUCGUGUAUCAGAUCUAGGAGCCUUUUGGUUCUUCAUCGGGUAAUUGAGCUGAUAUCAGGUGUCUGAAGGAGGCAAGUUUUGAAGAUGUGGGUCAUGAUGGCUGCUGAAGCUUCCACUCCAUAUUUGAAGGUCAGCAGUUCUCAGGAAACCUCUAGCACUUCCAUCCCUGGUGGGAUGUGAUGCCUGUCUCAGUGUAACAUCAGAGAAGGGGUGUACUCUGUGCCCUAGAACUAGGAGCUAACAGAGAAAAACCAAAUGUGAUGUGGAGUCUGCUAGACAGGCUACUGGAGCAAGAGUGAAGCGAUGAAAGUCUCAUCAUUGGGACAUAUUAGUGUGACAUGCAUAAAGGAAUUUCUUAUUGAGCCCCAGGAAGAAGAAACACUACAUAAGAGCAAAUAAUAAAAUCGGUCAGAUAGACAGAAGAUGGGAGUCAUCAAACCUGUAUCCCUCUUGCCAGACCUAUCAACUGACCAUACGUCAUUCAGGAGGCAGCAGGUGGCUGAAAUCCUGGUGUGAUGUGGCUGGAUCAUGCAUGAUCUGAGGACUCCUGCACAGGUGACUGCAGGAUGAGUACAGAAUUUUUCUAUAAAUAUACUAAAAUACCAAGUAAGCCAGGAGCAGCCACUAGGCAAACACCAAACCUUGCAUUCCUGGCCAAACCUAUCACAGAGCUCAUCAGAUGCAGUGGAUCCCCAGGUUGCAAGUCAUAUAACCUGAGCAUGCCCAGAUGAACCAAGUAUGCCUGAUUGGUGAACCUGGAACUGGCCAGAACAGAAAAUGUCAACCACAUGUGGAAUCUAAGUAUUCAGAUUGAGAAAUGAGGACCAAAAUGAGAACACUGAGCUCCUCACACAGGUGACUGAACCCGUGGUUUUGGUGUCUGAGAAGAUGCAGCUUCUCCAGUCUCUGCAACUGACGGCAGGAAGAUGGGAGCACUCAGCUUCAGUGUUCAGAAGCAGAUUUAGGCCAAUUGCCAUACCUUACGUUCUGGAGGGAUCCACCCUGACCUGAGCAGAAGGCAUCACACACAUUCCCAAGCAGCAUGGUUCCCGUGAGAAACUGAAAACUAAUUUCUUGAAUCUACAAUGCGACUUCCAUCUUCCAGGUGUAACCAGAGUUUUUCCUGGAGCGAUUCCAGCUUGUUUCCUUUUGGUGCCUUCCUUAAGAAAUUUUGCAGCUGUUUCUGGUGCAGUUUUUGGGUGGGCUCUGGGGUGGGCAGACGAUCUCCACUUUGCAGAGGCUGCUCUUGUGAGUGGAGCUGGUGGUGAGGGAGUAGGAGAGGCCUCGCAUCAUCCUGGCAUUCAGGCCCUUAGCCAUGGAGAAGGACUUGAGGUGGCUUCUUAAGGUACUGGGGAGCGGGAGCUUGUCCACCAGAUGCACAGGUGUGCAGGACACGAUGGUGCGGCAGCAGAGGUCUUGCAAGCUCAGUACCUUGCUCGGCCUCCCGAGCCAAUUCAUCCUGUGCCGCAGCAGCACUAUCCUGGCCAGCUCCGUGAAAGACUCUAUGAUGUUGAAAUUGCACAGAGGGCUGACCUCAAAGAAGGUCACACCCAGGCGCUCGGCGUAGGCCUGGGCCUGCUCCCUGGGCACCUGCCUCUUGAAUGCCAGAUGUAGGCGAUUCCCCACCAGGAUUUUAGGGACACCAGGGGCAUGUUCCUCAAUCUUCUUAAUCCAUCGAUCCAUACCCUCGAAAGACCAGCGGUUUGCAAUGU
rnacentral:lncRNA from 1 species